rnacentral:lncRNA from 1 species
UUUGAUUGGAUGUCACCUAUGAGAAGACAAAGAACUUGUUUAGUGAAAGAGAAAUAAGAGCAUAGUUGGAUUACAAUGGCUAAAGGGCGCAAACUGGUUUAAAAACAAGCCUAAAUGAAUUAUUAAGCGCCUCUUGUUGCAGGCUGACAAUAACAAAGGGCUACGUGCAGCGCGAGACAGCCAGCGCGUCCCGCCCAUCCCCCACUCGCUUCCUCCGCUCACCUCUCUGUUGUAGAAAAGUUGAGUGCGUGGUUCUCUUCUCUUUUAAUUUCUCUUCAACCAAUCGGGCUCCAGGUCCUCAAAGUAGUUGAUCUACUUCUCGCUGCACAUAUAUGUCCAGCAAGUUAAAGGAGAAAAUGUUUCCCGGUAUGCGAAUCUUUGUUCAAAUCCGAGGCUACAGCGGAAUGCUAUUAGUCUCCUUCUCCACUUUGUCUCCGUCUAACAACAAAAUGGAUCCUCAACAAACCCUAAGUAGUUUGGGCUUGUGGUGUGCUGACCAAUCAGGGAGAAGCACUUCCACUGUGUGACCAAUAGGAGAGAAGAACACGCCUGUUGCCAUCCUCCCUGCGUCAUUGAGGGUUAUACGUGUUUGUGGGGAAUUUUGGGUUUUCCGCGUUGCUGUAAUAAUAACUCAAAGGCAUAUAAAAUGAUCACAUGGUUUCUUCCGGUUGGUUUAAGCUCAAAACGCAAUCACUUAAACAUUAACCUACUAAUAAAUGUUCUAGGCAUAACAUCUGGUAUAUGUGCCUUGUGUAAGAUUCUGUUAGCAAUGGAACAGGCUUAAAGAAAAAUGGCUUUUAAAAGUAAGACUUUUAGGGAUAUUACUUUUAAGUGAAGUGAAGUGAAGUGAAAGUGACAUUCAGCCAAGUAUGGUGACCCAUACUCAGAAUUCGUGCUCUGCAUUUAACCCAUCCGAAGUGCACACACACAGAGCAGUGAACACACACACACUGUGAACACACACCCGGAGCAGUGGGCAGCCAUUUUUUUAUGCUGCGGCGCCCGGGGAGCAGUUGGGGGUUCGAUGCCUUGCUCAAGGGCACCUAAGUCAUGGUAUUGAAGGUGGAGAGAGAACUGUACAUGCACUCCCCCCACCCACAAUUCCUGCCGGCCCGAGACUCGAACUCACAACCCUUCGAUUGGGAGUCCGACUCUCUAACCAUUAGGCCACGACUUCCCCAAUCAUAGAAACUCCAAGGAAGGAAACUGAAGGGUCACUCCCUGUUUCUUACUUUCUGCAAAUAACAGUGAUUAGUUAAGUGGAGACAAUCAAUCAUUGGGCUGAUUCACACAGUGCAUUGAUUAAACCGUACCGAUCAUUAAGAGCUAAGACAAAAGAUUUAACAAAUGUGACUUGUAAACAAGGAAUAAAAACAUUAGCAGUUCCACAAUGGCCCUAUAUAUUUUUUAAGAAUUCUAACAUAGUACAAAUCUAGAGAAACUGUAAGUACAGGGCUGUUUAGAAUGGUAACUGGAAGUGCUUAAAAAUAUCCCAGGCCACUGACUUACGGUCAUCAUCACUGUGACUUUGCAUGAGGUUAAACCCUGUUUACUCAGUGAGUUAAAAUAUCUUGCAAAGGCCUGAUUCUGUAUGAAUAAGCAAUUUCUGUAAGAGUUGCAGUGAAUGAAACCAUUAUCUGAGCUUUCUCUCAAAAGGCAAAAUUGGCACCACUUUGAUUUUGCUUCAAUAUAAUGGUAGGACUGAAACUAGAAAAAAAGUGUUAGGAAGUUACAGUUGUAUUUAUUUAUUUGGAUUUUGUUUUAUAGGAACAACAACAGGCAUUUAUUCACUUUACUCCUGCUUUUGUUGAGAUCACAAUAGCAGAGACAGAUUUAUAAAACCAUAUAAGCCAUAAAGACCUACAUGUCUUAUCCAAGCUGCUUAUACAAAUGGGGUCAACAGAAAAUAAUUUGUCAGUAGAAAAAUAGAGAAAGAGGGAUUUAUAAAAAUUCAGACACAGUGGCUGAAGCAGACAGCCUAGUUUGAAUUGUAAAGGCUGGUGAUUCGAUUAGGCUUAACAUCAAUUAUCUUAAAACAUAUUCCUUAUACUUAACAUCAAUUAUACUUAAAACAUAUUCCUUAUAAAAUACUAAGUUUCAUAAAUGUUACCAAAACAAUUAAAUGUAUACAACCAACAUCAUACAAAUCAUUACGAACAAACAUCAGGUGGGUGGAGCAGACAUACUAAAAUAAAAAAAAAUAAAUAAAAAAAAACAAUAUUUAUAAAACAAAAUUAAGUAACUCAGUGCUUAUAAUAAUAAUAAUAAUUUAAUCGCAUAAUUUUUCUUCAAAAAUCUCAACCAGCUAAAAACACAUCUGUAUAACAAAACAGGCUUAGCCUUAUCUUUGAGUUGGGU